AGCUUUGCGCAGUGGCAGUAUCACAGCCAAUGAGGUUUACUCGAGGAGUGAUUAUUGCUAAUUGAAAAACUGAAGAACAUAUGAAGUGCAUGUCUGUAGCUUAAUAGUACAAAGUCAGCCAACUUGAGACCUUGGCUCAGGGAUUUUUGCAACAUUUCUAGCCCAUGACUACACUGGGUAAU
ensembl:snRNA U4 U4 spliceosomal RNA